rnacentral:rRNA from 1 species
AUUGAACGCUGGCGGCAUGCCUUACACAUGCAAGUCGAACGGCAGCACGGGGGCAACCCUGGUGGCGAGUGGCGAACGGGUGAGUAACGCAUCGGAAUGUACCCAGUAGUGGGGGAUAACUAGUCGAAAGAUUAGCUAAUACCGCAUACGCACUGAGGUGGAAAGCGGGGGAUCGCAAGACCUCGCGCUAUUGGAGCGGCCGAUGUCAGAUUAGGUAGUUGGUGGGGUAAAAGCCUACCAAGCCUUCGAUCUGUAGCUGGUCUGAGAGGACGACCAGCCACACUGGGACUGAGACACGGCCCAGACUCCUACGGGAGGCAGCAGUGGGGAAUUUUGGACAAUGGGGGCAACCCUGAUCCAGCCAUGCCGCGUGCGGGAAGAAGGCCUCGGUGUAACGCUUUGUCAGGAGAAACUCUGGCUAACACCUCGGGGGACGUGACGGUACCUCGAAGAAUAAGACACCGGCUAACUAACGUGCCAGCAGCCGCGGU